AAGAAAACAAAAAUCCCAAAGAGAAGGGACUGAUUUUUUAUUAGCACAUCUAAACGAAGAAAUCAGCUCAAAUUUAGAGAGAGGAUGGCUAGAGUAAACAGUUCAUUAAGGUGCACUCACAAGUUUUCAUCUCAUUCCUUAAUCUGAGAGUCUUUUUGAAAGCAAGGUGAAUUCGUGGACCUCCCUCCUGCAAGAUGCUGUCAGGACAAGCUGGGAAGUUGGAUGUCUGAGACAGAUCAAGAUGAUUUUCCAACCACCAGCACGCAAUGCUACCUGAGGUUGGGAGAUCCACAGCUGGGAGUGGAAACUCUUGGCCUUAGAGAAGGAG